UACGUAGGUGGCAAGCGUUGUCCGGAUUUAUUGGGCGUAAAGCGAGCGCAGGCGGUUUCUUAAGUCUGAUGUGAAAGCCCCCGGCUCAACCGGGGAGGGUCAUUGGAAACUGGGAGACUUGAGUGCAGAAGAGGAGAGUGGAAUUCCAUGUGUAGCGGUGAAAUGCGUAGAUAUAUGGAGGAACACCAGUGGCGAAGGCGGCUCUCUGGUCUGUAACUGACGCUGAGGCUCGAAAGCGUGGGGAGCAAACAGGAUUAG
rnacentral:rRNA from 1 species